rnacentral:snRNA from 1 species
AGCUUUGUGCAGGGGCAGUAUCGUAGCCAAUGAGGUUUAUCUGAGGCGCGAUUAUUGCUAAUUGAAAACUUUUCCCAGAAAAGAAGUUAUAAAAAAAAAAAAGAAGAAAAUCUUUUGGUUUUCACUCUCGUUCACCGACUGAUGGAA